UACGUAGGGGGCUAGCGUUGUCCGGAAUCAUUGGGCGUAAAGCGCGUGUAGGCGGCCCGGUAAGUCCGCUGUGAAAGUCGGGGGCUCAACCCUCGAAAGCCGGUGGAUACUGUCGGGCUCGAGUGCGGAAGAGGCGAGUGGAAUUCCUGGUGUAGCGGUGAAAUGCGCAGAUAUCAGGAGGAACACCGGUGGUGUAGACGGCUUUCUGGACCGUAACUGACGCUGAGACACGAAAGCGUGGGUAGCAAACAGG
rnacentral:rRNA from 1 species